rnacentral:rRNA from 1 species
AUUGAACGCUGGCGGCAUGCUUUACACAUGCAAGUCGAACGGUAACAGGCCGCAAGGUGCUGACGAGUGGCGAACGGGUGAGUAAUGCAUCGGAACGUGCCCAGUCGUGGGGGAUAACGCAGCGAAAGGAGUGCUAAUACCGCAUACGCCCUGAGGGGGAAAGUGGGGGACCGCAAGGCCUCACGUUAUUGGAGCAGCCGAUGGCUGAUUAGCUAGUUGGUGAGGUAAAGGCUCACCAAGGCGACGAUCAGUAGCGGGUCUUAGAGGACGAUCCGCAACACUGGAACUGAGACACGGUCCAGACUCCUACGGGAGGCAGCAGUGGGGAAUCUUGGACAAUGGGCGAAAGCCUGAUCCAGCAAUGCCGCGUGCGUGAAGAAGGCCUUCGGGUUGUAAAGCGCUUUUGUCUGGGAGCAAAUCCUGGCCUCUAAUACAGGUCGGGGAUGAGAGUACCGGAAGAAUAAGGACCGGCUAACUACGUGCCAGCCGCCGCGGUAACAC